rnacentral:rRNA from 1 species
ACAAGGUCGUGGUGACCAGCGGAGGGAUCAUUACCGAGUUUACAACUCCCAAACCCCUGUGAACAUACCAAUUGUUGCCUCGGCGGAUCAGCCCGCUCCCGGUAAAACGGGACGGCCCGCCAGAGGACCCCUAAACUCUGUUUCUAUAUGUAACUUCUGAGUAAAACCAUAAAUAAAUCAAAACUUUCAACAACGGAUCUCUUGGUUCUGGCAUCGAUGAAGAACGCAGCAAAAUGCGAUAAGUAAUGUGAAUUGCAGAAUUCAGUGAAUCAUCGAAUCUUUGAACGCACAUUGCGCCCGCCAGUAUUCUGGCGGGCAUGCCUGUUCGAGCGUCAUUUCAACCCUCAAGCCCCCGGGUUUGGUGUUGGGGAUCGGCGAGCCCUUGCGGCAAGCCGGCCCCGAAAUCUAGUGGCGGUCUCGCUGCAGCUUCCAUUGCGUAGUAGUAAAACCCUCGCAACUGGUACGCGGCGCGGCCAAGCCGUUAAACCCCCAACUUCUGAAUGUUGACCUCGGAUCAGGUAGGAAUACCCGCUGAACUUAAGCAUAUCAAUAAGCGGAGGAAAAGAAACCAACAGGGAUUGCCCUAGUAACGGCGAGUGAAGCGGCAACAGCUCAAAUUUGAAAUCUGGCUCUCGGGCCCGAGUUGUAAUUUGUAGAGGAUACUUUUGAUGCGGUGCCUUCCGAGUUCCCUGGAACGGGACGCCAUAGAGGGUGAGAGCCCCGUCUGGUUGGAUGCCAAAUCUCUGUAAAGUUCCUUCGACGAGUCGAGUAGUUUGGGAAUGCUGCUCUAAAUGGGAGGUAUAUGUCUUCUAAAGCUAAAUACCGGCCAGAGACCGAUAGCGCACAAGUAGAGUGAUCGAAAGAUGAAAAGCACUUUGAAAAGAGAGUUAAAAAGUACGUGAAAUUGUUGAAAGGGAAGCGUUUAUGACCAGACUUGGGCUUGGUUAAUCAUCUGGGGUUCUCCCCAGUGCACUUUUCCAGUCCAGGCCAGCAUCAGUUUUCCCCGGGGGAUAAAGACUUCGGGAA